rfam:Exophiala spinifera strain CBS 89968 unplaced genomic scaffold supercont1.3, whole genome shotgun sequence.
GGUCCUGUGACGCAGCAGGUUAGCGUGUCGUUCUUAUAUUGUAUGCUUGCAUCCUUUAUGAAUCUUUCGAGAUAUGCGAAAGUCGCGAGUUCAAAUCUCGCCAGGACCA